AUACGGAGGGUGCAAGCGUUAUUCGGAAUCACUGGGCGUAAAGCGCGCGCAGGCGGGCUGAUAAGUUGGAUGUGAAAGCCUACGGCUCAACCGUAGAACUGCAUCCAAAACUGUCAGUCUAGAGUCUGGGAGGGGAAGAUGGAAUUAGUUGUGUAGGGGUAAAAUCCGUAGAGAUAACUAGGAAUACCAGAAGCGAAGGCGAUCUUCUGGAACAGUACUGACGCUGAGGCGCGAAAGCGUGGGGAGCAAACAGGAUUAGAAACCCCAGUAGUCC
rnacentral:rRNA from 1 species